rnacentral:lncRNA from 1 species
GCAUCUUGUGGUUUCCCGCUCCUUCUUGCACCUCCUUCUCCACCUUGGGCUCAAUGGAGGCAUCGUCUUGCUUCAAGGUUAGAGGCAGGCUCCGUGCUGAUGACGCCGGUUCGGAUCCUUCUUCUUGGAAGGUGCACUUUCCUUUGUCACGCGAUGAUGCACACUCAGCAUCCUCCAAAUAGGCUGCGCGAUCUGAGCCGUGCAAGGAAAUUUCACUUUCGUCUUUGUUUUCUUCAUCCGAGGUUUUGACCCACCGGGAAGCGUCAGAUGGUCGGUGCCUUUCACUAUGAGACAGCUCAGUGUGCUGUUCCCCUCCAGUGGUUGCCAAAUGCUCACCGUUCCAGCGAUACGGGUUCACCGAUUGUCCAAUAUGCCCGUGAUCUGCACUGUGAAUAACUGUGGAUAGAUGGCUGUGGGGCGUCGUUUCGGUAAAUCCAUCGGAUUCAGAAUUGCAAAGACUGUGUCUUAUUUCUCGAUGUUUUUUUUCCACUCGGGCGUCUGUGAUACGAGUGGCUCUACACCCGUUUAUCGCCCGACAUCCUUCCACCUCGCGGUCACUCUUAUAGACUGUUGAAGCGGCAAAGGUGCUGUCUGCUUGGGAACUUACUUUUUCACAGCCGGGGUGCAUUUUGCCUUGCGCCGCUGUGUGAAAGCCAUUGGUAGAGUUCUCCAUGUUCUUAACCUCGGGUAUUGCAUGUGCUUCAUCUGUACUUCUGAUCACUUGUGCGUCCACUUCAUGUUUCUUGUCCUCGCUAUUCUUGUGGCCACUUUCAUCAAUGUCAAAAGGGACCGUGCUUGUAGGAUAUCCACUCUCACGAGGCGGUACGACGAGGGGAACACAUCUGCUUUCCAUGUCGCUAAAAUUGUUUAAUGCCGGACAGAAAUCUACGGACUCGGUUGAGUCAGCAACUGCAUUGUUUACAGAAAGUCCUUCUCUGCCACAAAUAGCUUUCCUGUAGUGGCGUGCAUUCAUGUAGGUUGAGCAUCUGUUGCUCACACAAGAUAUGCUAGGUUCGAUCUUUUCCUCGGUAAUAAUGGAGUCAACCAGGCACGGUUUUUGUGUGUCGUGGUCUGAAUUUGUGUCACACGCUAUGCAAUGUUGGCUUGCAUUGGACGGUGCAGCAGCGUGCUUCCACGAAUCUGGCUGGUGUUCCUCGCGCAGGGUUUCGCAAAGAGAACUCUCGCUUCCCAAACGGCCUUCGUCUCCGGUGGAUUUAUCCGCCUUUCUCGUUCGUUGCCUAGAACACUUUGUUCCUUCUGUGUCCACGACCACAGUACAUAAGUCGGAUUGUAAUUGUAAGGAGUCUUCUGUGAGAAAGCGUUCACCCGCUGUUCCCCCGACGCCGUUUGUUCCGUGGUGCUUACCACGUCUCUUAUCUUUGUCAACCCCUAGCUGUUCAUGAACAGCAGGUUCAGACGCAUGCAUGAAAUUUCCAAACUGCAAGUCGCCUGGAGGUAACUUUGGCAGAAGCAGGCCCGUUUCGUCUAAACUAGCGGCCAGGUCAUGCUGUGGACUAUUCACGUUUGCUCCAGAAUUACUCUUUGACGUUGGAGCGUGAUUCCGGCAGUCAAGUCUUGCAAUCUGCGCUGCCUCCAUCCCUAUAAACAAAGCAACGCGUUGCUUCCAUUGGCGUUCUUGCUGGAAAUCAAAUUGCAUUUGAAACAGUUCCUGCUCAAAUGAUGAGUCCAGCAAUGGCGUGAGAAGCCUCCGCAGUUGUUUGUCUUCCUCUGAGUCGUAGCAUCCAUCUAAAAUGCCAUCCUGUUCAGACUCCUUUAGAGAACAAAAGACAGUGGACCCAAAGGGGUCUGCGCUCGCAGAGGUGGUGGAGAGCACGAACGACGCAACAGACUCUUGAACUCCAUCCGGUUUGUUAGUGGAACUACACGCAUCUCGAUUCUGGUGCCUUUGUGCACCCGAAUACCUUCCCAGACCCACGAAGUCCCAGGGCUGUCCAGUGAAACGGUAUCCAAAUGCUGUGGAAGACAUUGGUUCCCGCACUCUGUUUCUGAUGAGGUCACUGUGUAAACAGUCACUGGAAGCAGUAAGAACGGUGUUUGCCGCAGACACAUUCGGGGUGGGACAGCGGUCUCGGAGGUGUCCCUCUGCAGACUUUUGUCUCUCCAUCCAAGUUGGUAUCCCGAAAACGGAGGCAUCUGUCGGUGAGAAUAUUGUUCCGGCAUUCGUCUGUCCUGCAACGUCACGCAAACCAGAUGCUACAUUUUUUAAUGGUAACGCUGGGUUCCGGGCAUGGGUUCGAUUUAAACCUGUGGUCGCUAGAGGGCCUCUCUCAGACACAACUUCGAACUGCAAUGCGCGGCCUUGUGUUGACCCCUUGUAUAAGUCCCUGCUUGCGGCGUCCGGCAUCGAUGCAGAGUACCCUGCUUCUCUUUGUACAGCAGAUUCUGACCCCGACCAGCUCAUGAGUCUCUCAGUUUCAAUUUCAUUUUCCAGGGGCAGCUUUGUCAGCGAGUGACAAAGCCCUGACGGCGCGGACGUGCCAGUGGGUGCAUCAACACCCAGAGCCACGGCACUUGGCAAGUCGGAGCCUCUUUGUAGGGACGGUACGGCAGUAAGGAUGAAGGGCGAUAUGCCGUUCUCAUUGGCUGAGUCAUUGGGAGACCAAUAAUCCAUCGGACGCGGCGGUAUCAGUUGCAUGUCGCUCACCAGCUUGCCCGGUGCUGUUGAGAACAUUCUAUUGCAGGACGCCAUGGUAUGAGACAACAAUGGGUUCGCUGUUUCAUUUUUCGGGAGCGCAACAGGGAGCAGACCUCCCACCGGCGUCUGAGAUCUUAAAAUAUUAUUGCUGUCGUCUCCUUCCUCAUAAGGCAAGGAACAACUGGCAGUUGCCGGCGCAGACAAUCUGUAAAGCUCUCCGAACGCUGGCCCCGGUAGUGUCGCUGGGGGUGGCUGACUUCUUCGGGCUUCAGGUACACCAGCUUGAGAGAACUCUCUUCGAGGGUCUGACAUCUUUCCUCCAGUCACGAGUCGUUGUAAAACCUGCUCGGAAUGAGCCUGAUUCGGAGACUCUUGCUGAUGAAAACCUGACGCGGCAGCUGACAGCCGCGGUCUCAAAUCUGAGACCUCUCCAGCGGAGCGGCUAGUCGCGUUUUCUUCCGAUAUCGUUUCGUUACUAAUAUUCCGGCACGAGAAAGGCAAGUUCUGUGGAGGAGAACCAGAAAGACGAUGCCCACUCGGACAACGCCCUAGAGCCCAAUCUGAAAUCUCCCCGUCUCUGGUGUGUGUUCCCUUUGGCACGGAGGAAGAGGCCUGUGGAUCUUCUACGCUAAGCUGCUGGACUGAUGAGGCCAUCUGUUGUUUUGCUGGAGUAUGCACAUUGCUACAGCUAUACCCUGACACCACAUCAGGUUGACUGAUCAUGGCUUCCCCAAGCAGAGGGGAGUGUGGCGGAGGGUAAUGGAGAGGCCGCCCUGUUGCGGGAUAAUUGACUGAAGCUCGUGGAGAGUCACACGGCAAUCGGUGUGAUCGGAAACGCGGGAGUGGCGAUGACUCCCGGGGGGAAAUUGCGGCUGAGUCCUGUUCCAGGCACCUGGAAGCUAGCAGACACGAUGACUCGUAUCCCUGCGUCUCUUGUUGAACUACGGAGUUUUGUCCCGACUGUAAAGUGGGAAAUUGUGAUGGAACUUGAGGCGAACUAGACCAAGGCGAGGGCGGUACUGAAAUCAUGGGCGAGCAAUCGAAAGCGCUCCCGUACUCUCCGCUUUUUCCGUCCACUGGUGAUUCCUCUCGUGUGAUGCUUCGACGAAAGGAAUGCCUCGCGGUUGGCCCAGUUGAUGCCCGGGAGCUUGACGAAGUUUUAUAUCCCGAACGAGGAGCGACAGGAGACAAAAGAGAGGCAGAACCCAUUGGCGUCUUCACCUCCAUUUUGCUUUCGAACGGUGCAGGGCCGCAGGGAGUUGAGGAUGAAAGGGCCGUUGCACUCCAUGCCGACAUAGAACGAUGCGUUGGCGCAGCGAAGGGAAACAUGGAUAUAUCCGUACCACAUGUGAAUUUCUCAGCUGCGGGCUCCCAGCCUGGCACGUUGUUUCUGUACCCGCUUGAGAUCGGAUGAAGAGAGGCGCUGGCUGGUGUCCUACUACAAGUAGUGCCUCGCCCACCUUCUGCCCUGGCCUCUGACGGGCAACAGCAAUCCAUUCUCUGGAAGAGCCUGUGAGAUUAAGAACAAAACGUGGCGGAUCGAGCAACGCGUUCUCUGAACUCCAAAGUUAUCAGAUGCAGCGGCAUUUGUAGCAACUACCGGUUCUCGCUUUGUUUUUUUUUUGAAAGAGCGAACAAGCUCAAGCUCGUAGAGUGUGGCAAGUAGCAGUUGCUGACACUCGCCAGAGGUCAGACAUGUGAUCCGGGAAGGACAGUCGUUAUAUGGCCGUACGUGGAGACGUGGCAGUGUGUCUUCCAAAGUCGUACUGUGAAUCAAACAGGGAGGACAGCGUUUCCCCAGUCGUAGCAAAGGAUCCGUUGCAUAUCAUAUACAGUUCCCUGCUGUCGGACCGCAUCUGCGCCGGAGAGAAGCUGUCUGAAACUCGCAGACCAACUUGUUUAUAAACAGAUUCCAUUGAACGACAUCGCUCUAAAAGGAGCGGCAAUCUAUGUGCUAUCAUCGGUGGCGUAGCAUUCUCGGACAAGCGACGAAAUAAUUCCAUAAUCAUCAUGCCUAAUUCGCGUAUGCCAAUAUGCACAAGAACGUCUCCUAGCAUAGCGCUCACGAGCGCGCUCACCAGAGCGUCUGAAAUCACAUUCGAUUCUUCAUGGCCAGUUGCAUACCCACACAAGAAGUACAUGUAAUGGAUAUCGAGUUAACACCAGCACGCCCGCUCGGACGGUAGAUCAGCUACCCAUAUUUGCAGGCGUUCCCCCAAAGACUUCGUCCGUUCGCUGCUGAUCCCAUCCACGCAACAGGCAGCGGCAAGCAGAGUCCCUCCCGUCGCCGUCGUCUGCGAUGCAACUGGAGGACAAGGCGCCGCCGCCCUUUGUGUAUGUGCCGUCGUCGAUUCCGUUUGUUCCACUUGCGUCUUAUUUCUAGACCCUGUCGUAGCAAAUCCCUCGUUCUCCGCCUUCUCGGUCACGUCUCUGCACACGAGGUUUGAAGCGCAAGAGGCGGCUUCACGUGAUGGUGAUGAUCUUGACGGUUCAUCCCUUGCAGCCGAUUGUCCUAUUCUCGUCUUUCGGGUCUUUGUUUGUAUCGUAUCAGUGUCUGCGCGACUCGUGCAGUGGAUAGAGGUCCUGAAAAUUCCAAGACGCACCACUCUGCUCUCACAAGGUGUCCUCAGUUCUAGGUCAGUCCCUGGCGUUGGUACUGACCCCGUUUCGUCAUCCACAACGGAUGCCCUGAGAAAGGCCUCCUGGCACCGAUCUCGCUCUGCACGCCAGGCAGUCUCUUCAUCUCCUUUCGCCUGUUUAUUUGCCUCGGUUUCUUGAAUGCCAAGAAAAUCGGAAUCUGACGACACCAGCCUGCGUACCCCGAGUGCAGUCUCGUUCUCACUCGACCACUCAGGUAUUUCCCCGACUUCGUCUCCUUGACGUGUCUUCUGCUCUCCUCUCGACGUGGUGUAUUCUGGCGAAGGGCUGUGAGAAGGCUUUCCCGGACACUGCGCAUCCUGAAGAGUUUCUUCUUUCGGAUUCGCCAUAAUUGGCACGAGGACGAAGAGCAGGAGGCGCCGUUUUCUAAAGGCCCCCUCCAUGGGGUAGAGAGAGAAACGGAGAGAGCGACAGAGUGAACUACGGAGAGCACAGACGCGCCGGAAGCUACGUUUCUGGAGAGCGUUUCAUGUACAGAAAGGCGAGGGACUGGUUCAGCCCGAGCGAGUGAGCAACAUGCGCGGAAACUACGACGCGAACAAGGACCGCGUGAGUACCAGUCAGAGCAGGUCGAAAACUGAAAGUGAAGAGACGACUGAGACAAGACAAAGGAGGCGACUAGAGCCUGAAAGAUUGUCAACAUGCUCUUGUAGUACAGAUCUGAGACAUCCGCGCACUCGUAGAAAGCGACAUGUCAAAACUGAGAGAACGUCCUGCCUGGGGGAGGCGCCAGCGCUUCUGGAACAUACCUCUCUGGCGAUGCCCAGCCAGAAGGCCUGAACCGCAGAAGAAAGGAGAUUGCUUGCAGGAUGGAAGACGUCUUCUUCCGACAGCUGUAGAAAGGAUUCUUCUCUUUCUCCUCGGCUCUGCCUCCUUUCUUCACGCACCUCGUGCAGUGUGUCCUCCUCUCCUUGCUCCGGCAGUCCAGUCUCUUUGUCGGGCUUGCCGCUCUUCGUUCCUCUCUCUUCUUCUCUCCCCUCUCUUCCGUCUCUUGCAGGCUCCUCUGCCCUAACAGUCUGUGAAUCACACGCGACUUGGGUGUCGCGAGUUACUCGACUCUCGCAUCCCUCUUUCUGUGGUUCGGCGUCUGCUGCGUUUUCACCAUUAACUUUAUCUUCAUCAUUGUCACCCCUACCGAAGUCUUGACCUUCUCUCCCUUUUCCUUCCUUCUUCUGUUCCACCGUCUUGGCCUGGCCCUCACCAGGCACGGUCUGCGAAGUCUCGUGAGGCUGGGCGCUCUGGUCUCUUCUGCUGGUUUCUUCUUGUCUCAGCACUCCCAGAGCACCGGACUUUGUGCCGUCGGCUGGUCCAGGGUGGUCGAGGCGGCGAUUCUCUUCAACUGCUACGUCGGGCGAAGAAGCGGAAAACACAGCAGGCGAGGGUCCAGGGAGAAAAGAAGAUGAAAAC